rnacentral:rRNA from 1 species
AUGCCCUACGGGGCGCAGCAGUAGGGAAUCUUCCACAAUGGGCGAAAGCCUGAUGGAGCAACGCCGCGUGGGUGAAGAAGGUCUUCGGAUCGUAAAACCCUGUUGUUAGAGAAGAAAGUGCGUGAGGGUAACUGUUCACGUUUCGACGGUAUCUAACCAGAAAGCCACGGCUAACUACGUGCCAGCAGCCGCGGUAAUACGUAGGUGGCAAGCGUUAUCCGGAUUUAUUGGGCGUAAAGAGAAAGCAGGCGGUCUUUUCAGUCUGAUGUGAAAGCCUUCGGCUUAACCGGCGUAGUGCAUUGGAA